AUACGUAGGGGGCGAGCGUUGUCCGGAAUAAUUGGGCGUAAAGGGCGCGUAGGCGGCCAGACAAGUCAGUAGUGGAAGUCCCAUUUUCAAGGUGGGGAGGGCUAUUGAAACUGUAGGGCUUGAGUGCAGGAGAGGUUAUCGGAAUUCCCGGUGUAGCGGUGAAAUGCGUAGAGAUCGGGAGGAACAUCAGUGGCGAAGGCGGGUAACUGGACUGCAACUGACGCUGAGGCGCGAAAGUGUGGGGAGCAAACAGGAUUAGAUACCCUGGUAGUCCACACUGUAAACGAUGAAUGCUAGGUGUAGGGGGUAUCGACCCCUUCUGUGCCGGAGUAAACACAAUAAGCAUUCCGCCUGGGGAGUACGGUCGCAAGAUUAAA
rnacentral:rRNA from 1 species